rfam:Pan troglodytes isolate Yerkes chimp pedigree #C0471 (Clint) chromosome 6, whole genome shotgun sequence.
CCAAAGGCUCUUUUCAGAGCCAUGUUUUCUUGGUGACUAACUGGUU